AUGGGCAGGUUGAAGGUUGGGUAACACUAACUGGAGGACCGAACCGACUAAUGUUGAAAAAUUAGCGGAUGACUUGUGGCUGGGGGUGAAAGGCCAAUCAAACCGGGAGAUAGCUGGUUCUCCCCGAAAGCUAUUUAGGUAGCGCCUCGUGAAUUCAUCUCCGGGGGUAGAGCACUGUUUCGGCAAGGGGGUCAUCCCGACUUACCAACCCGAUGCAAACUGCGAAUACCGGAGAAUGUUAUCACGGGAGACACACGGCGGGUGCUAACGUCCGUCGUGAAGAGGGAAACAACCCAGACCGCCAGCUAAGGUCCCAAAGUCAUGGUUAAGUGGGAAACGAUGUGGGAAGGCCCAGACAGCCAGGAUGUUGGCUUAGAAGCAGCCAUCAUUUAAAGAAAGCGUAAUAGCUCACUGGUCGAGUCGGCCUGCGCGGAAGAUGUAACGGGGCUAAACCAUGCACCGAAGCUGCGGCAGCGACACUAUGUGUUGUUGGGUAGGGGAGCGUUCUGUAAGCCUGUGAAGGUGGCCUGUGAGGGUUGCUGGAGGUAUCAGAAGUGCGAAUGCUGACAUAAGUAACGAUAAAGCGGGUGAAAAGCCCGCUCGCCGGAAGACCAAGGGUUCCUGUCCAACGUUAAUCGGGGCAGGGUGAGUCGACCCCUAAGGCGAGGCCGAAAGGCGUAGUCGAUGGGAAACAGGUUAAUAUUCCUGUACUUGGUGUUACUGCGAAGGGGGGACGGAGAAGGCUAUGUUGGCCGGGCGACGGUUGUCCCGGUUUAAGCGUGUAGGCUGGUUUUCCAGGCAAAUCCGGAAAACCAAGGCUGAGGCGUGAUGA
rnacentral:rRNA from 1 species